rnacentral:rRNA from 1 species
UAAUACGGAGGGUGCGAGCGUUGUUCGGAAUUACUGGGCGUAAAGGGCGUGUAGGCGGACUUAUAAGUCUCCGGUGAAAUUUUCACCGCUCAACGGGAAAAAGCCCGGGGAUACUGUAAGUCUUGAGGAUGGUAGAGGAGAGUGGAAUUCCUGGUGUAACGGUGGAAUGUUUAGAUAUCAGGAAGAACACCGGUGGCGAAGGCGACUCUCUGGGCCAUACCUGACGCUGAGGCGCGAAAGCGUGGGGAGCGAACAGGAUUAGAUACCCUGGUAGUCCACGCCGUAAACGGUGAGUACUGGGUGUGGGAGGAAUCGACCCCCUUCCGUGCCGACGCAAACGCAUUAAGUACUCCGCCUGGGAAGUACGGCCGCAAGGCUG